GUGGGGAAUUUUGGACAAUGGGCGCAAGCCUGAUCCAGCAAUGCCGCGUGCAGGAAGAAGGCCUUCGGGUUGUAAACUGCUUUUGUACGGAACGAAAAGGCUCUGGUUAAUACCUGGGGCUCAUGACGGUACCGUAAGAAUAAGCACCGGCUAACUACGUGCCAGCAGCCGCGGUAAUACGUAGGGUGCAAGCGUUAAUCGGAAUUACUGGGCGUAAAGCGUGCGCAGGCGGCUUUGUAAGACAGACGUGAAAUCCCCGGGCUCAACCUGGGAAUGGCGUUUGUGACUGCAAAGCUGGAGUGCGGCAGAGGGGGAUGGAAUUCCGCGUGUAGCAGUGAAAUGCGUAGAUAUGCGGAGGAACACCGAUGGCGAAGGCAAUCCCCUGGGCCUGCACUGACGCUCAUGCACGAAAGCGUGGGGAGCAAACAGGAUUAGAAACCCCAGUAGUCC
rnacentral:rRNA from 1 species